CCAGGCCUGCCUACCAACCCUCCUUCUAGAAGCUUCCAUCUCCCCAUCUGCUCUCCAGGGAGUCCCAACUGUCCUUCCAGAAACUUCCAUGGCACUUCUCAAGUGAAGGUAGCCACCAAGAGCCAUCAGUCCAUCUUAGUGGCCUCCAGCCCACACCAGCCUCAGUCCCCACAGCCUGCAGGACAAAGGCACAACCUCCAACCCCGUGGGUUCAGGUAGGGAUGAGCAGGAAGGGCACCAGCCCCUGCCAUGGGACUCACUGCUCCAAGGAAGUGAUGCUCCAACAGCAAGAGGACAAAACCUGUGUCCAUCUCAAGGGUACAAAGAAAAGAUGAAAUGCCACAGAUGCCAAUGUUCUGCUGGUGAGGAGUUGCAGGGAACAAGGACCAAGACCACCUUCUCUACAACAAGGGAUGUCACCAAACAACAAACCCUCAGCCACCAGAAAGCCAGCACAUGAAGGAUGAGGUAGUGCUGCAACAAGCUGCCACUGAGUCUAAAGAGCUGCAUUUUCAUCACCCCAAUGGCACAUAAAGACCACAAGACCCCCCCAGUCACCUCCUGAGUCCGAUGCCAUGCUAUAAGAAAGUCACAGGGCUGCUCGUGGAAUCCAGCUUGUGGUUUCUCAUCAAAGUUUUCAAAGUUCCCUAGAAAUCUCAUGCAUCUUCUAAACAUUUCAAUAGCAAAGUUGGAAAGGAAGAGGCUUUGGCUCCUUUUACAUCCAGAGAGGUUUUUUUAAUUAAAAUCCAGCUGGUCCCACAGCACUUUCUGCAUUUUCUUUAGUGAAAUGUAGCUAAACACUUUGAGCAGCUGUAGGAAAUUACCUCCAAUCUCUCUUGCCCUUCCACCUGGAGUUUUGUGCCGGAGGAUGAAUGCAGAGAGACCCCACUGGGAGAGCAGGAAUCCCAAAGUAAGGAGAAGGAAUCAAGAGAUGUACACUAUAGACUGGACUUCCAGCCAACCAGAACCCGCAUUAUCCAAUCCAAACCUGCAUUAUCCAACUCAAACACACAUUAUCCAACCCGAACUUGGCUCAGUGCUGGUCCCCAGGUUUACAACAGCUCACCAAGACACUCUCCUUCUAGAUGUACACCUGCACAGCCAACCCUAGGUCAAGGCUCCCAGCCUGGGCAAUGGACACCGUUGCCCACCCAAGGGACACGAGGGAUGCGUCAGACCUGAGUGCCACUGCCCACUCUCAGCCUCCCUGAAUGGGUCGUGAUUAUUUGCAGCUGUUCCCAGAUGUUCCCCUUCCACGGCUUACUUGUUCCCGGGACGACCUCCCUGUUCACACGCCAUGGGAAGAAAGAGAGAGGCUCCUUUCUCCCGAUUCCUAUGGAAACAGCCCUUUAUCCGAGAGGCAUUAGGAAUGCUCGCCCGCCGCUUCCCUCCCUCCAGCCCCACGGCCACCCACUGCUCAUACCUCAUCCCAGCUCCUUUCCGCCUCUCCACAGCUCACAGCAAACUCAUCUGAGAGAGAAGCCAGGCUGCUUAAAGCCUUUUCCUCCCCAGAAAGCCACCAGAAACCCCCCAAAUUGCAAUAAUCCCCUUCGCUCCCCCUUUGU